rnacentral:rRNA from 1 species
GACGAACGCUGGCGGCGUGCUUAACACAUGCAAGUCGAACGCUGAAGCUCAGCUUUUGUUGGGUGGAUGAGUGGCGAACGGGUGAGUAACACGUGAGUAACCUGCCUCCUUCUUUGGGAUAACGCCCGGAAACGGGUGCUAAUACUGGAUAUUCACUGGUCUUCGCAUGGGGGUUGGUGGAAAGGGUUUUUCUGGUGGGGGAUGGGCUCGCGGCCUAUCAGCUUGUUGGUGGGGUGAUGGCCUACCAAGGCUUUGACGGGUAGCCGGCCUGAGAGGGUGACCGGUCACAUUGGGACUGAGAUACGGCCCAGACUACUACGGGAGGCAGCAGUGGGGAAUAUUGCACAAUGGGCGCAAGCAUGAUGCAGCGACGCCGCGUGAGGGAUGGAGGCCUUCGGGUUGUGAACCUCUUUCGCUCAUGGUCAAGCCGCAACAAUGGUUGUGGUGAGGGUAGUGGGUAAAGAAGCGCCGGCUAACUACGUG